UGGGGGAAUAUUGGGCAAUGGGCGAAAGCCUGACCCAGCAACGCCGCGUGAAGGAAGAAGGCCCUCGGGUUGUAAACUUCUUUUACCAGGGACGAAGGACGUGACGGUACCUGGAGAAAAAGCAACGGCUAACUACGUGCCAGCAGCCGCGGUAAUACGUAGGUUGCAAGCGUUGUCCGGAUUUACUGGGUGUAAAGGGCGUGUAGGCGGAGAUGCAAGUUGGGAGUGAAAUCCAUGGGCUCAACCCAUGAACUGCUCUCAAAACUGUAUCCCUUGAGUAUCGGAGAGGCAAGCGGAAUUCCUAGUGUAGCGGUGAAAUGCGUAGAUAUUAGGAGGAACACCAGUGGCGAAGGCGGCUUGCUGGACGACAACUGACGCUGAGGCGCGAAAGCGUGGGGAGCAAACAGGAUUA
rnacentral:rRNA from 1 species